GGCCAGUAGGAAGAAGACAUCGAGCGUGCUGCCACGAUGUGGCUAUCGCGUGUGCAAGUGUGUACGUGCGUGUAACGUAGUGGUCUAUCAAUUUCGCGGGCCCGGACGUUUACGAGUAGGUCGUAAAAGCGGCGUAAUAGGCGCACACGGUCGUAUAUGCCGUCGCCGGGUGGCCAGGAAAUUCGAUCGAGCGCGAAGGGUUUUACGUAAGUCACGAGGUCCUUCAAUCGUCCUCUGCGUGUCGCAGCGUUCUUUGCAGAACGUUACAGUACGGUAGACAUAACCUCGAAACACAUCCUUCGAAACUGACAUUCGCUCUAAUAGCGAGAUGUCGCGAAUGUACGAAACAUCGAGAAGUAAGUUGUUCGUCUUACUUUACGUUCUCGUCUACCAGUUAUUGCACGCUGGAUACGGCCGGAUUCGCAGCAGGGAGGUUAUGAGGGAUUUGAGUACAAGAAUUUUGAAAUAAGAAUUUGAUCUGGCGUAAUUGAAACAAACAAUAUCUGUGCAGCCGCUUAGGCAAAUAAAGAAAAGAACAGAGGCAUAAUUUCCCCACAUUUCCUCAGCUCUGCUGCUUUAUAUUCAUUAUCCGUGCUCUCCACCAACGCAACGAUAUCGAAAUCCUCGUUACAGCCUCUGCAGCGUCAAAUUGAAACGCUCGACGAAAGUAAAAGUGAAAUAAGAGCAAAAGUAAAUUGAAAAAGCUCCCUCCACUUUCCAUGGGGUGUAAAUUCAAUACGCGGAUAUAUUUAUGAGCGAAACUCAACGAUCUUGAAGUAAAACAUAAAAAUAAUGUUUUGGUCAUAUUGAUACGACAAAUUGAGACACAAACGUAACCUAAUCUAAAUACGUAUUUCCUUUUCCUAUUUAUCUUUGUUAUGUAAUCAAAUACAUUAUUUAUGACUUAUUAUUGUGUAACUAUAUAUUCCUUCGACUAUGUCU
rnacentral:misc_RNA from 1 species